rnacentral:pre_miRNA from 1 species
GUAGUACUCCCUCCGUCCGAAAAUACUUGUCAUCAAAACGGAUAAAAGGAGAUGUAUCUAGAUGUAUUUUAGUUCUAGAUACAUAUCUUUUUAUCCAUUUUGAUGACAAGUAUUUUUGGACGGAAGGAGUAGUAC